CCUAUAGUAGUUUUCCAUCAUCACAUCUCUAUAAGGGCUCCUUUGAUCAGGUGCCAGAAAAUCCUACUCCUUCUAAGUAAAUUUCACAGCCACAGCUUCAAAGGCCAUUAACUCCAUUUCCUGGAUCAAGAUUCUGAGGCUUUCUUUGGGCAUCAGCCAUACCGUCCAAGAGGGAAGAGGGAAAAAGGUGGAACUGCAGCCACAUGGAGCAAUCUGGAAUCAAAUGGGAGAAGUUUGUGCCAUGCAGGCUGGUGGAACAACUGGGAUUUUACUUUACAAUGGGUUAUGGCUGAGACACUUCUAACACAAGACAGAUUAACAAGAGAGAAGCAUACGUAUUCAUGUAAUAUAAGUUUUAUGUGACAUGGAGGACUUCACGAGGAAAGAAAGACUCCAAGAAACAGAAGUGUUUUGGAAAAACAUUGCAAAUAGAGUAAACAGUUAAGUGUGAUGGAGACAUUUGGAAAGUGAAGAAUCUUGGAAUUGAGGGAGGGAAUAUGCGGAUCACGAUUAGACAAAGCCAAAGGUCCUCCUAUCUUGAUGAUCCCAGUGGAAGCCCAGAAGCUUAGACCUCUCUUUUUGACUUCCAUGUGAGUGAUCUAAUCCAGAUGGAAAUUUUUUCAUAGACACUGUAAAGCACUCCAUAUGUGAAGCAAACAAAAGAAAGUGAUAGAUAAUGAACUAUAUGAAAGCUGAAUUACCCAUUAAGAGGUUAUGCUGAGGUCUGAUAAUGAAUUAACUUAACAUAGUGUGAAUGCUGCAGAUAAUACUAAACAAACAAACAACAUCUUUCUUCCUCUGCUUGCCUUUUUGAGGGUCACUGAAAUUAUGAAUGUCUUUACCAGUUGGCGAGAGAUAUAACUUUUUAUUUAUUAUUUCAGUUGAAUAAUACCUUUAGUUGUUCUUUGUAACCCCUUCUUUGUGUGUUAUAUAGCCUCUUGGCGGCAAUCCAACCAUGGACAAUUUUUUUUUAACAUUUUGAACUGCAGUGUCUUCAUUUUUAGUAGAGGACAGUGUGCUUACUUCAAGUAUUAUUGAAGAAGAUAAAUGAUAAAACCUAUAAAUGGAUUAGCAGAUUGCAUGGUGUGUAACAUGCUCUACGUGAUAGGAGCCAAUGGUGUUACCAUGCUUUGCAUUAUCAUCACCUUAGUACCAAAAAGUAAGAUAGAGAUGAAGUUACCCAAAAGCAAAGGAAGAGGAUCCCUCUUUCUCCAAGGUGAUAGAGUACAUCUAGAAACUUUGAACAUCAAUCACAUCAAUAUUAGACUUAAAAAGACUUAAAUACAGGAGUAUCCAACAGAAGAGCCAAAAUUAAGAAGAAUGACAAUACCAAGUGUUGGUGAGGCUGUUGAGCACCUGGAACUUUCAUCUGUUGACAUGAGACUGUAAAAUUGUACAACCACUUUGGAAAAUGAGCUGACAACUUCUUAUAAAAUUAAAUUUGCAUCUAUGCUGUGACCAAACAAGGCCAGCUAUAGGUAUUUACUCAAAGGAAAUAACUGUGUAUAUAAAAUGUGUAUAUAAAAUAUGUUACAAAAAUGUCCAGAGCAAACUUAUCAACAGACAACACUGGAAAGAGCCUAGAUAUUCAUCAAUAGAUAGAUAGAUAGAUAAACUGUGGCAUAGAGUUACUUCUACAUAACAAUAAAAAGGGACAAACUACUAUAUGCUUGAUGAAUCCCAAAAAUGUUUUGCCCAGUUGAAGAAGCCCUAUUCAAAUGAGACUCAUAUCAUAUGACAUUUUAUAAUAGGGGCCAAGCAGGAUGACUGAAAGGGGGUGUGAGGAUCUUUCUCAGGUGGUGAUAACUUUAAGAGGUGGUGUUACACAGAUACAUGCAUUUCAAAUUCUCCACAAAUGUGCACUUAAGAUAUGUGCAUUUUAUUAUAUGUAUUUCAUAUCAAAUAAAACUACAAAUAUUGAACUCAAAUUAAACACAGGUUAAGUUGUUAAGAAGAUAUGAUAUCAGCAAUUUAUUUUGAAAUGCAUCUAAAAUAUGAUGAAUUAACAAUGAACAGAGGAUUAGAAAUGAAAUAGAGUAAAUACAAAUAGUAAGGGCUGGGGAUUUAGCUCAGUGGUUUUGCCACCUGCUGCUCAAGGGCAAGGACCUGAGUUCGAUUCCCAGUACCCCCCCCCAAAAAAAAUAUACACAAAUGGUAAAACUAGGUAGUAGGUAAAAAUUCUUUUCAUGUUCUAUAUUUGUUAAUUUUUAUAAAAUGUUGAGAAAAUGUAGUGGCAAAAUUUCUUUACUGCCUGAAGGAAUAAUUCUUUUUUCUGUUAGUUUUAUUAGUACAUGUUUAUAAUACAUAAUAAUACAUUUAAUUCUCUUUUUCUUUUUUUAUUCCCUACCUUUUCCUCCCUCCCUGCUCCUUCCAACUCUUGGUCCACUUCCCAUUUGCAAAAACUCUGUUUUCAUCAUUUUUCCUCUUCAAUCCUUUUUUCCCAUCCCCUUUCCUUCUCCUCCCUUCCUCCUUCCUCUCUCCAUCUCUUGUUCCCCUAUUCAUUUGAAAAAAGGGGUACAUUCAUACCCACGUUUGUAGCAGUACAGUUUGUAAUAGCUAAAUCUUGGAAUCAGCCUAUAUGCCCAUCAACAGAUAGAUGGAUAAAAAUGUGAUAUUUACACACCACGGAGUACUACUCUGACAUAAAGAAAGAUAAACUUGAGGCAUUUGUAGGUAAAUGGGUGCAACCUGAGACCAUAAUAUUAAGUGAAAUAAGUCAGAGACACAAGCUUAAAUAUCACAUGGCUUUUCUUAUAUGAGAAUCUCUCAAUAGGUAGAUAGAUAGAUAGACAAAGAGCAAGUAGGGAGAUGCUUUUCAAGUAGAGAAGUAAUUUUUAAUGUUCCUUUCCAAUAGUAGUCUUGCUCUAUUAAAAUAAAUUACUUAUAAAGUAUAUAAAAAAGAAUGUACAGUGGUUCUGAGUAAGUAGAGAUAAUAAAAGAUAUCUCAAUAAAAGACAGAACUAGUUAAAGAUGAGUUCCCUUUCCCUGCUUUUUCUCUCUCCUCACUUUUCUACUCACCUGGCAGUGCCCACUAACUUAUGCCUACUAUUAAAAAAAAAGGCAGGUCCUGCCCAUUUGCAUCUGAGUUGGAAGCAAGACCAUCUCAUUUAAGAAGAGGGCAGGGAAUGUAAGACAGAUGGCUGAAAAUGGUACCUGGUACCGAUGUGCCUCUGCCAAGACCAAGAUUGUGUGAAAUGAGCAUGGCAAUAGAUCUGUGCCUUUCCUAUAAAGAUGGAAAGCCCUGUGUUGCUAACUUAAUAUAGUAAAUAUGGAGAAAACAAAAGUGCUUGUUUUCCACUGGGCUGGGAAUAAGAGCAGCACUGGAUAUGAAAAAUGGAAUUUUCGAGGAUUUAGCUCAGUGGUUCCGGCUCCUGCCUUGCAAGGGAAAGGUCCCAAGUUUGAUCCCCGGUACCAAAAAAAAAAAAAAAGGAAUUUUCCUUUUGUCGGCAGAAUAUGGUUAUCUACUUUUCCACAUUAGGAGUAGUUGGCAUCAUUUUUUAUAGGGUCUGGGCCCAUAUACACUAGCUGUGUGUUGACUUCGAUACUUUUUCUUGAAUAAAAUUCAUAGCAAAGUAAAAAGUGUACAUUAUCAUAAAAAAUAAAUAAGAUGUCAAGAAAAGCUUUAUCAAAGCAAUAUAAUUCCUUCUUUUAGAAAUGUCACAGGAUUUUACAUUUUAUAGAUGAGCAUGUGAUCUGUUUACUUUGGCACAAAGGAAAGGAAAUUUAAGCAAAAAUCAAAGGAAAUGACCUUAUCAAGGCUGUGACUCCAUAAUAACAAAUGGGCUGACAACAUUUGAUUUUAAUGAACACAUGAGUGAAAGUAAUUAUGCAUAAUUGUUAAUUUUGCCUUAUAUAAUUUUAG
rnacentral:lncRNA from 1 species